UCUCAGACCCACUAGGACCAUGAACUGGUA
rnacentral:piRNA from 1 species